rnacentral:rRNA from 1 species
CGGCCGCCCGCACAUCCGCUACCCCACCUUCCCGGCGGCCGUCGACGAGUUCUUCUCCCUCCUCGAGGGCCAGAGGCGCGUCCUUCGCUGUGAGAGCGCCGAAUCCGCAGCAAGGCAGCGGUUGGAGAAGAUCCGGCGCGACCA